rnacentral:lncRNA from 1 species
GAAAACUCAACAAAAAGGAAAAGAAGAAGAGAGGAAAAGUUGUGGGAGAGAGGAAAAAAGAAAGAUGUGUGGGGGUGGGGUGUUGCGGCGCGUCUCAAGUAAAAGGGAAAACAAAGGAUUAGGGUUUUGAAAAAUUAAAAGUUAAAGGUAAAAGUAAAAAAAAAAAUUACCAAAGGGUAUUUUUGUAAAGAAAAUAAAAUGGAGAGAUGCAAGGAGAAAUUAGGUAGUGCAAAGAUAAAUCCUCUUAUCAAAGUUGCCCGGAAAGGCCUGGCUAUGCUUGUGUUGAUAGUGAAUAUGAAAAGGGUGUUGCCCCCUUCACCACCUCAAGUGCUCCUUCAUCAUUUCAAGUGUUCCUGCAUCUCUCUACUAUUUUCUUUUAUUUCAAAAAUACUCUACACCUCCUCACUAUUUUCUUUUAUUCCAAAAAUACCCUACACCUCACCACUAUCCUCAACAAUCUUUCUCUUUCUCUCUCUGCAUUAAUGGAACAUUCAUAUGACUCAUAUUUAAAC